AUCCUCUUCGUCGGCAGCGUCAGAUGUGUAUAAGAGACAGGUAUUUAUAAUAUCAUAUAAUUAAACUUAAUUUAGUACCACUAAAUUUUUAGAUGAAAAAAUUUAAAUUAGUUAUGGACAAGCUUAUAUAGGAUUUAGAUUGUUGGUAAGGUAAUGGCUUACCAAGUCGAUUAUCUUUAACUGUUUGGGAGAAUGCACAGUCACAUUGGGUCUGGAACAGAACCCAACUACCGAAGGGGUAGCAGCAGUAGGGAAUCUUGACAAUGUGCUAACGCACGAUCUAGUAAUGCUUUAGAGGUGAGGAAGGUUCAAGAAAUCGUAAAACCGUUGUAAUAUUAAUGCACAGCGCCGCUUUACCGUUUUUAUUAUGUAAGUUCCGACUAACUUCGUGCCAGCAGUCGCGGUAAUACGAGGGGAACAAGUGUUAUUCGUACUGAUUGGGCGUAAAGGGUGCGUAGGUUGUUAAUUAAGUUUGAAGUUAAAUUCUGAAGCUCAACUUCUUAAAAACUUUUUGAUACUGAUUAACUUUGAGUUAUAUAGAGGACAGUAGGACUCUUAGUGUAGAGAUAAAAUUCAAUAAUAUUAAGGAGACAAGUCAAGCGUAGGCGACUAUCCAUUAAUAACUGACACUGAGGCACAAAAGUAUGGGGAGCAAAUAGGAUUAGAGACCCUAGUAGUCCAUACCGUGACCUAUGAGUAUUGAAUUAGGAAUUAAUUUUCAAGGAAUGAUUUCAAACUUCAAGCUAACGCGUAAAUACUCCGCCUGGGGACUAAGGCCGCAAGGUUAAAACUCAAAGGAAUUGACGGAGAUCAGACCAAGUAGUGGAGCAUGUGGUUUAAUCCGAUAAUCCGCGUAGAACCUUACCAAUUCUAGUUCAUAUCAAGAGAUAUAUAGUAUUAUAUUAACUAAAUUUUGUGACAAUUUUAUGUAUUGUUUCAAAUAAGAUAUGAUCAGGUGUUGCAUGGCUGUCGUCAGUCCGUGUCGUGAGAUGUCGGGUUAAAUCCGAUAACGGACGCGACCCUCGAACUAAAUAUUUUGUUUUAGUUGAAAGAUAAUGUAAGAUUAUAGGAAGGUGAGGACAACGACAAGUCGUUAUGCCCUUAUGGAUUGGGCUACACACGUGCUACAAUGGUGAUAACAAUAAGAUGCAAAAAUGUGAAUUUUAGCUAAUCUUUAAAAAGAAAUCGUAGUCCGGAUUAUUCUCUGCAACUCGAGAAUAUGAAGCUGGAAUUACUAGUAAUCGUAUAUCAGCACGAUACGGUGAAUUCGGAACCUGGUCUUGUACACACCGCCCGUCACGCCAUGGAAGCAGGUUUUGCAUUAAAUAUCUGACAGACUUUUUUGGUUAUAUUUUAAUAAACAUGUUUAUCAAAAGUUUAAAAAUAUAACCCUUAAACGAAGCGCAGCGUAUCGAUG
rnacentral:rRNA from 1 species